rnacentral:lncRNA from 1 species
CCUCGCUCUGCACUGAGGGCCUGGAGCGCCCGCCCCUCGCCGGCCUUUUCAGGUGCACAGGACGAGGCAGCUGCGCGGACGCCCCCUCGGUCCUGCCUCUCUCAACUUCACCCUCUAAAGUCCUCGGCCUGGGUGGCAGCGCCCCCUACGGGACACUGGGCAAGUCUAAGACGCCCUUGGUUGGCACAACCGGGAAGAGAGUGCUGCUGGCACGAGGUGGAGGUCUGGGGCACUGCUCAGCACUUCAGGGCGCAGGACACCUUGGGGGGACGGCCUGCCCCGGCCGGGAUCCCCGGUGCCGAGGGUGAGGGAGCCCUGUCAGAGAAUAGAGGAACAAGCUGCCUGUUGGAGAUGGCAAGAGGAGACCCUGCACCCCAAGCUUCCUCCCUUGUCAGCAGGGGCUGCCCUGUCCCUCCCUGUCCCUGUCUGCCACCAUCCAGUCGCCCACACCCGCUCCUACUCCAAUGCUUUUAUGCAGAACCAAUGGAGGAGAUAAAAAUGCAUUCUGCAAACAGUACUGAGAAUCAACAAACGGGAUCGUAUCAAACUAAAAAGCUUCUGCACAGCAAAAGAAACAACCAACGGGGAAGAGAAAGCCUACAGAACAGGAAAAAUGUUUGCCAGUGAUUCCUCAGACAGAGGACUGACAUCUAGACUAUAGAAAUAACUCAAAAAGAUUAGACCCCCCCCCAAAAAAUAAAAGACCCAGUCAAAAAAUGGACAAGUGAAACAAACAGACUUCUCGGAAGAAGUACAAAUGGCCAAUAAUUACGUGAUGAAACGGUCAACAUCGUCAGCCAGUAGAGAAAGUACAUUAAAACAACACUGAGCGUCCAUCUUACCCUAGGAAGAAUGGCCAUCAUAACAAACGCUGAUUGACGACCCAAAGGCCGGUGUCGUGGAAAUGAGCCAGUCACGUGACCUGUGGUCGUCCACGCAGCCCUGGAAACGCUCAAGACCCCGCACUCCGCCCAAGCGGACGUCUUAAGCCUCUGCUUCCGGUGCUGAGAGCUCUGAACACCCUGGAAGGCACCAAAGCUCAACGCGUACGAAAUUAUAUUUCAGCUUUUGCCAAAAUGUUUUCUGAACUGCUG